GUAUUCACUUCAGUAGCACAGAUGAUAGACUUGGAAUAAUACAAAAAUGGCUAGCAUGCCCCCUACAUAAAGAAAACACCCACAUUUGAGAAGUGUCCAUAUUUUCA